rnacentral:rRNA from 1 species
ACCUAGGAAACAGAUGCUAAUACCGGAUACAACAGAUGAUGCCUAUCAACUGUUUAAAAGAUGGUUCUGCUAUCACUCUUGGAUGGACCUGCGGUGCAUUAGCUAGUUGGUAGGGUAACGGCCUACCAAGGCGAUGAUGCAUAGCCGAGUUGAGAGACUGAUCGGCCACAUUGGGACUGAGACACGGCCCAAACUCCUACGGGAGGCAGCAGCC